AGCGAAUCGAAUGCGGCAGAGGGAAGGCCGGAGUCGGGAAGGGCUCCCCGGAUACUUGGUGCAGUGAUGUGGAGACGAAGGUUCUGGUUCCCUGUGGUGCCGCUUGAGUGCUUGGUGCCAGCACAGUGCUGAGCCCCUAGAUGCCAUCUCGUCCGACCUUCACAAGGCCGCGCUGGGGUAGCAGCACAGACCCUUCCUGUUUACAUGCAGCCCCCGGGACUGAGAAGCAUAGGCAGCAGCUCUUUCCACUGGAGGAGAAACAGUGAUGGGAAAGUCACUGCGACCUGGAGGCCAGCACCCACGCCCAGACUCGGAGCCGCACAGACAACCUUGCCCGCAGCCAGACCCUCACCCCCACCCUGUCUGCCGAGGACAAAAUUGGCAGAAUAAUGCGAAUGUAUCAAAACCCAGCACCUCAAAAGCCCUGACCAGAACCAGCCCCUGGGAGCCUCCUCCUGGUCCCGGGGCCGCCUUUAGGGUGCAGCGGCUGAAGCUCUGCGUUCUUCCCCAGAAGCCUUUUGGACGCACCGAUGGGGCCUGGGUCCC